GGGGAUGUACUGGCUUCGACAGGGCAAUUAGAGCGUAACUGAAGCCUGCUCGGUUAGAGCAAAAAACCAAGUGCUACUAACAACGUAGUUCCCUUCGCUCGCGCCCGCGCUACUGUCGCGGCCUGAGUAAGGCGGGGUUGGUAGAUAACCUUGUAAACCAAAACUACCCAAAAGGCCCCUUCGGGGGCCUUUUUGCUGC
rnacentral:tmRNA from 1 species